UACGAUGAUAAUACUUUAAGAUUGUUGGAGGUUAUCGUUUUUGAGAAUAGAUGGGUUUUUGGGUGCUUAAAGUAUUACACCAAGAGACGUCAAAUUUGGAACGCUCAACAGUGUUACCUCCAGCGUAGGAAACCCUAGAAUAAAUAAAUAAGCUAUUGGUCUCCAGAGAUAUGGGCCUUAAUACUCUUUCACCUAUUGGGCUUGUAUGUGAACAUAUUAUUUAAAUUAUAUUAUAACAAAAUAUCCAACAUGAAUAUAUUAUUUGGAUUAUAGAUAACAGUAUAUCCAAUAACAAUAUAUCCAACAUAAGGAUCGUAUCACACCACUCACUUC
rnacentral:lncRNA from 1 species